GAAGGUAUAUCUCAAGUGGUAGAGUGCAUGCUUAGCAUGCAUGAGGUCCCCAGGUUCAAUCCCCAGUACCUCCU
rnacentral:tRNA from 1 species